CAUUCCAAUGCCCUAGAUUUGAUCCUAGCUAAUUUUCCCAAGUGAUAUAAGGCCAUUUAGCAUCAUAGAACACCUCACCAUGAGUUUACUGCCGUAAACUCAUGGGGAGAGGGUCAUUAGGGCCGUAAACCCUCUUAUGAGUUUACUCUUGAGGGGUAAACUCCAUAUCCAAGCCUUAUACGUCCGUAGAUGUCACUCGGGUCACUCCAAACACUUGUUUUGAAGUGUUUUCUCUCAUAUGAGUGUAUUAUCAUAUCUAAUUAGUGGGGUGUAUUAUCAUAUCUAAUUAGUGGUUUAAAGUCUAAUUAGAUAAAUUUGUAUACCAUUUCACAUUACAUAGGAACCUCACAUGUUAUAAAGCCCCGAACCAAUGCUUAGCAUUCAAAUCGUCGCGUUUUCUCGUCUGGUGAGUUCAUACCCCUACCCUUUUUCAAUGGUUUUUCAAUGUUUUCAGGGGGAAUACAAGCAAAAGUACAAGAAUAUCUUUUACUUAAAUUCAUUAUUUCAUUUGAAUGGUUUCAUAAUCCAUACACUUUUAAGAAUUGAAAACAUAUUAACAAACUGUUUUGACUUGCAGAGUUGUUUUUCAAACUGAUUUUCAAUUCUUAUUAUACAGUGUUAUACUUUAUACUUCACAAUUGAUUGUUCACACUUUACAGUUGAAAUCAUAGAUCUUUUGUAUUGUCCUUAAUAAAACACCCCCUAGAUUCGAGUGUGAAGGACAAGUAUCAUUAGAACUUUAGUCAGGUCCUUGAUAGUACUCCUCCUAGAUACGAGAGUAAAGGACUAAUAAAAAUAGAGUUUCUGUAUUAAUAACCUUCAGUUUUAAAUUCAUUAAUCUUAAGAUUGGAGACACGUCCUUUGUAACACUUCCCUUAGACACGAGAGUGGAGGACUACCCCUGUAACCAGAAUCUCCGGAAAAGGGGAGAGCGUGACUUGAGUGUAUAGAUCUAUACGGGAAUGACUAUCCCGCACCUGGCUGCUAGCUACAGCCGAACCGAAAGGUUCAAGGGUGACGAAAGUCAUAAAAAGAUACUGGCCCCGAUCCGAGUCAUAUCUAGUCUGUAGUAUGGUUAUGGAACUCGCAAUCAGGAUUAUGAACACUUUACACUUAAUUAUUAGUUUUAUAUAUGUGUUAAAACUAAUGUAAAUUUAAGGGUAAUCAGACUUUCAGGAGACUCCACUCACACACUUUAAGUAUAGUAGAUACUUGUACAUUACUUUCAGAUUCGGUAACAAUUCACACACAUUUAGAAAAUUAUGGGAUUUUCCUGGGAUAACAUUUGUACAUAACCAGAAACGUGUAACAACUCAGAUAACUAAACUUUACAAUUCACAAGGGUAAACAUGUUUUUCAGUGUACAUCUUUUACAUUACAUUUUGGAUUCGAUAACCAACUUUUAAGAAAAUAUGGGAUUUUCUUGGGUGUAACUUUUUCAGAAACAGAAAGGAACUCAUACAAUUUCAGAAAACAAAACCGCUUAUGAACUCACCAGCUUUAUGCUGAUUUUCAAACUGCAUGUAUUCUCAGGUCCACAUUAGACAGGUACCCGAUGAUCCCUUUUGGCGGAGACGGAGUGCGUUGAAGUCACGUCUUACUUUUGUUCAUAUAUACUAUGUAUCACACUUGUACAACUUUACUUUUAAAACAAAUGUAAACUUUUAUAUGUAAUGUAAUGGUUGUUUACUUUGCUUACUAUGUGCAUUGGAUUUGAUACUCAACGUGGAGUCCGCCCCGGAAAUAUUUCUACCUUUGGUUUUUUGGGUGUGACAGAUUGGUAUCAGAACCCUUGUUUAUUGUAAACGGAGUAUACCAAACUUUACAUGGUAUAAGACUAUAAACACUAAGGGGCCUAAGUGUUCUGAACUAAAAGUAUACUUCAAAAUAUAAGUAUUUUCAAAAAUAUACAAGUAUACCUAACUGUUGAAAUCCAUAACUACAAGUAGAACAAAACAUAAGUAAAUGGGUGUUGUACGCUGCGGUUAAACCUGGGCAGUUAUGUAGUCGUGUCUAGGAUCAAUAUAGCCUGGCCAACUAUAUUCAUUCGAGACACGGCCAACAUGUGCUUGGGAGUGACUGUGGUAUGCGGCAUGCCUAAAACUUACCCAAUACCCAAACAAUGAGCCGUCGUUGCAGCGAAUCAUGAAAUACUAUGGGAGUAUUUCUCGAGCCAAAUCCGUUAUAGAAANUGGGAGUGACUGUGGUAUGCGGCAUGCCUAAAACUUACACUAAUACCCAAAACAUCGAGCCAGUGUCGUAGCGAAUCAUGAAAUACCAUGGGAGUAUUUCUCGAGCCAAUCCUUUGUAGAAUUCCUCGUUCAUGAAUUGUUCCUUGAUCAUUCCUUUAGUGAUAAUUUAUCUGCUUCGAUAACUCUUUGCUGCUUUAUCGCUUAUUCGGAAUAUAUAUAUGUCAUAUCUCUUGAUUCAAUUCAGAGGACUCAUCAUCCUCUCUUUCUCGAUCUUAUUAGAUAAAGAUGCCUCCAAGAAAGAGACCCAGCUCCAAGACCAAUAACCCUCCGCCACCACCUCCUCCCCAAAUUGAUCCUGUAGUAUUCCAGGCAGCUGUUACUGCCGCGGUAGCAGCUGCCAUGUCUCAACGGAACUCUGGUGGUUCCGGUGGUUCGGGAGGUGGUACCCAAACCCAAAACCAAGAAAGCAGUCAGGGACACCGAAAAGAGGGUUCCUAUAAAGAUUUCAUGAACGCAAAACCCACGUCCUUUGAUGGCACUGGAGGUGUCAUUUCCCUCACCCGAUGGUUCGAGAAGAUCGAAUCCAUCUUUGAAACUUGCGCCUGCUCAGAAUCUGACAAGGUGAAGUUUGCCGCCUGCACCUUUAUUGAUAAAGCCCUGACUUGGUGGAAUGGCCGAGUCAAAUCCCUAACCUUACCUGUAGCCAACGCCAUGGGUUGGGAAGCCAUGAAGGAACUUCUGCUGGCUGAGUACUGCCCUCGAGGCGAAAUGCAGAAGUUAGAACACGAGCUCUGGAACCUGAAUAUGAAGGGUUCCGAUAUCGCCGCUUACACUUCCAGGUUCGAUGACUUGGCAUUACUCUGCCCGAAAAUGGUUACCCCGGAGAGUAAGAAGAUAGAGAGAUUCAUCUGGGGGUUGACCCAACCAACAAAAGGAAAUGUCUUAGCUGCGAGGCCGGAUACAUACGACAGCGCCAAACGCUUAGCACAAACCUUAAUCGAUCAUAGUGAUGACCUUGAGGAAGGAACUACCACUCCUGAGCCGACAGAGAGGAGUGGCGAGAAAAGGAAAAUUGGGAAGAAGCAGGAAAGUCAAACAUCGCAAGAGUCUUCGAAGAGGCAGCAAACGGUGGCAGUUCACACUGCCACUUCCCCUGCAGCUGUUUCUGUUGUUGGAUCCUCAGCUCGGAAACCUACCAGUAGGUAUGCUGGAACCCUCCCUAGUUGUGACAAGUGCAACUAUCAUCACCUCACUUCCAGCCCAUGUCUAGAGGUGUUUUGAAACAGUUGUGGCAAAAAGGGUCACACGGCGAAAAACUGUAAGACACCAACUCAAUCAACCAGUCAAGCUUCCGGAGCGGGCAUUGGUCAGGCCUGCUAUGGUUGCAGAGAAGUCGGACAUUUCAAGCGAAACUGCCCCAAGGCAGUAACAUCUGGCAACACCAGAAGAGUUCUAGCAAUAGGACGAGAGGAGACAGCCACCGAUCCCACCGUUGCCACAGGUAUAUUUCCCCUCGAUGAAUCUUAUGCCUGUUAUCCUUUUCGAUUCUAAUGCUGAAAGAAAUUUUUUAACUUUCCAUUCAAACAUCUUUCUAAACUCAGUUCUUCGUUAGUAAUCGAAAACGUGUACCGUCGAGAUGGUUAACAAGUGAGAAGGAGAACGCUAACGUCAUAUCCAUAGAUUGUAUCCUCAGUCCGGACGAUUAUUCUGUUCCAUUCGAUCUAAUGGAAAACUUUUCAUGAAAUGCUUUGAUGUUAUCUUUGGCAUGUAAUGACUGAGUCUCAUCCAUACUGUUAUUCUUGACUUCGAAAGGGUCGUCCGUCUAAAUCUUUACUCUGACCCGACUCUCAUGAUCUUCGUGCAUCAAAGCUUAAAAAGUUUUCCCAUGUAUUCCUCGUCCGUGUGAUCGUCGGGAAACGGGAAGUCUGCAACUCUUUCCUAAUGCCUUUCCCCGAAGAUUUUCCGAGNACGUCUAGUCAAGUCUCGUAUCGACCUAAUCCCUGGAAUUACCUCGUAGCCAAACCUCAGUGAGGAUGAUGUGUCCAAGACAGUGACCAGGGCUUGAUAUGAUCACUACGAGUUAAUAGUGUGCCCUUCGGUCAAACCAUUUUCCCCGGUCAUGUAGAUUAGCAAAGCAGUAAUACUCGUGGACCUUUACAAAAACUAAGGUGAUAAAGAAUUAGUCGGCACCGAAGAUACCCAUAGAAACCCGUCAAUUCUUGGGUCCCGUCGGCUAAUAUCGCAGACCCACCCAAAAAUUUCUUUCGGAAUCAUCCAACCUUUAACUAUCCUGCCACACGAUGAUAUACCCUCUUGUUGAAACCUAUGUCCUGUUGAAGGUCUUAUUCCAGAAUGGCAUGAUAUGUGUUGAGAAGUGUGGAAAACUUCACCCGUGAUACAUCGGACCUUUCGAAAAUCCCCAUUAGAACCUGAACCGUGAACUAUAGACUUCGACUAUCUCAAGGAAAUGGUAGUAGUAUCCAUCUUGUCUUUUCUGUUUCGAACCUUUAGAAGCGCCUGCCUAACGAAAACUUAGCAAUCCCUUUGAUGAGACCGAAAUCAACGAAAGACCGAACCUCCAUGGAAGAACCAAUUGAGAUCAUGGAUUGAGAGAUUAAGCGUACAAAACAAAACCGCAUCCCGGUAGUGAGGGUUCGCUGGAAUGUCAAGCGGAGACCCGAUUCCACUUAGGAGCGUGAAGAUCCGAAGCGGUAAAUUCAUCCACAUCCCUUUUCAUUUCAUGAUUUGUAUCUUAAUCUUUGAAUUUUGGGACGAAAUUCCCUUUAACGGGGGGAUAAUGUGACAACCCGAAGUUGUCCAUCACCGAAACUCAUUUCGUCCGUAAAAUCCGUCUUUAACGAUUCGUUCCGAUUUCGUUUUUGGGCUAAAUUAUUUAAACUUAUAUGUUUAUUAUAAUCUCAUGAGUGUUCAAAUCCCUUAGAAACUCAUGAAAAUGGCCCAAAAUCAUUAAUUUGAAAUUUUCUAAAUUCAAUCCCGCCGGAUUAUGACAACUUAAUCGGGUGCAACCAGAAGCCCCGUUUAACGUCGGUAUCGGGUAGAAUUCCACCAUGUCCCGAACUUGGACCCUAUUUAAAGGGAAUUAAGCUUCCAUUUGAAGCUUUUUCUCUCUCUCUCUCUCACUACUCUCUCUCUAACCUCUCUCCUCAAUCCAACUUAAGGUCCAAAAAUCAUCCAAAACAAGCUUCAAAUCAUCAAGGUAACUAUCAUAGCUCCUAGUAUAUCACCUUUGGCCUUCAAAUUCGUGAAUUAUAUGAGAAAUAGGACCAUAAACAUGUUUUUACGGCCCUGGAACAUCCUUAGGCCGUGAACACAUGUAAAUGGGGUUUUUGAGCCAUAAAACCCUUCCAAACCUCAUUUGGAGCUUAGAUAUGACUUGGGGAAUUACCAAAUUGGAUUUAGAACACCUUGAACAUCAUUUUUGAGGAGUAAACAUGAGUUUACUGCCCAAGAACAUGCUUGGGCUGUAAACUCAUAUUCAUGGGGAGUAAACUCAUUUUAAUGUGUUAAGAUGCCACUUAAACACACCAUAAGCCUUGGGAUAAAUUCUAGAAGUAACCACAAUCAAGAUAAGGGCCUUAAACAUGUUAGAACAAUCCCCAUAGGAGCUUAAGGCCGUGAACCCCCCUAAUAAUGGGUUCUUAGGCUUUAAACCCCUAAAACAUGGUCAAAUGGUGAUUUAACUCAUUCCANCAAGAAUGGGUUCUUAGGCCGUAAACCCCUAAAACAUGGUCAAAUGGUGACUUAAACUCAUUCCAUGGCUUGUAGAUUUAGCUAGAAACUCUUGUAAUGGCCUAGGACCACCAAAACAUCAAAGGAAUGUGUGUGGGGGAGUUUAUGGCUGUAAACUCCUAGUUUACUGCUGUAAACUCCAAUAAAUCGUCCAUAUGUGAGUUAAAUCCAUUCCAAUGCCCUAGAUUUGAUCCUAGCUAAUUUUCCCAAGUGAUAUAAGGCUAUUUAGCAUCAUAGAACACCUCACCAUGAGUUUACUGCCGUAAACUCAUGGGGAGAGGGUCAUUAGGGCCGUAAACCCUCUUAUGAGUUUACUCUUGAGGGGUAAACUCCAUAUCCAAGCCUUAUACGUCCGUAGAUGUCACUCGGGUCACUCCAAACACUUGUUUUGAAGUGUUUUCGCUCAUAUGAGUGUAUUAUCAUAUCUAAUUAGUGGGUUAA
rnacentral:lncRNA from 1 species